CCUACGGGUGGCAGCAGUAGGGAAUUUUCGGCAAUGGGGGGAACCCUGACCGAGCAACGCCGCGUGAAGGAUGAAGUAUUUCGGUAUGUAAACUUCUAUCAGCAGGGAAGAAAAUGACGGUACCUGACUAAGAAGCCCCGGCUAACUACGUGCCAGCAGCCGCGGUAAUACGUAGGGGGCAAGCGUUAUCCGGAUAUACUGGGUGUAAAGGGAGCGUAGACGGCAUGGCAAGUCUGAUGUGAAAACCCGGGGCUCAACCCCGGGACUGCAUUGGAAACUGUCAGGCUAGAGUGUCGGAGAGGCAAGUGGAAUUCCUAGUGUAGCGGUGAAAUGCGUAGAUAUUAGGAGGAACACCAGUGGCGAAGGCGGCUUGCUGGACGAUGACUGACGUUGAGGCUCGAAAGCGUAGGGAGCAAACAGGAUUAGAUACCCGAGUAGUC
rnacentral:rRNA from 1 species